GACGAACGGUGGCGGCGUGCUUAAUACAUGCAAGUCAACUGAAGCAGUGGUAGCAAUAUCGUUGUGGAGGUGGCGCACGGGUGAGUAACACGUAGGUAAUCUGCCUUCAGGUCUGGCAUAACUCCGGGAAACCGGGGCUAAUAGCAGAUGAUGCAGCGGCUCGACAUCGAGACAGUUGUUAAAGCUAUGGCGGCUGAAGAUGAGCCUGCGUCUGAUUAGCUAGUUGGCGGGGUAACGGCCCACCAAGGCAACGAUCAGUAGCUGGUCUGAGAGGAUGAUCAGCCAGACUGGAACUGAGACACGGUCCAAGCUCCUACGGGAAGCAGCAGUACGGAAUAUUGCUCAAUGGGAGAAAUCCUGAAGCAGCAACGCCGCGUGAGGGACGAAGGGCUUUUGCUUGUAAACAUCUGUAGUGAGAGAAAAAAAUCCCAAUCUUUGGGACAUGAUGGUAUCUCAAAAGUAAGCCCCGGCUAACUACGUG
rnacentral:rRNA from 1 species